rnacentral:rRNA from 1 species
AGAUUAAGUUAUUAAGGGCGCACGGUGGAUGCCUUGGCACUAGAAGCCGAUGAAGGACGUUACUAACGACGAUAUGCUUUGGGGAGCUGUAAGUAAGCGUUGAUCCAGAGAUUUCCGAAUGGGGAAACCCAGCAUGAGUUAUGUCAUGUUAUCGAUAUGUGAAUACAUAGCAUAUCAGAAGGCAGACCCGGAGAACUGAAACAUCUUAGUACCCGGAGGAAGAGAAAGAAAAAUCGAUUCCCUGAGUAGCGGCGAGCGAAACGGGAAGAGCCCAAACCAACAAGCUUGCUUGUUGGGGUUGUAGGACACUCUAUACGGAGUUACAAAAGUAUAUAUUAGACGAAUCAUCUGGAAAGUUGAAUCAAAGAAGGUAAUAAUCCUGUAGUCGAAAAUAUAUACUCUCUUGAGUGGAUCCUGAGUACGACGGAGCACGUGAAAUUCCGUCGGAAUCUGGGAGGACCAUCUCCUAAGGCUAAAUACUCUCUAGUGACCGAUAGUGAACCAGUACCGUGAGGGAAAGGUGAAAAGUACCCCGGAAGGGGAGUGAAAGAGAACUUGAAACCGUGUGCUUACAAGUAGUCAGAGCCCGUUAAUGGGUGAUGGCGUGCCUUUUGUAGAAUGAACCGGCGAGUUACGAUUUGAUGCAAGGUUAAGCAGCUAAUGUGGAGCCGUAGCGAAAGCGAGUCUGAAUAGGGCGUUUAGUAUUUGGUCGUAGACCCGAAACCAGGUGAUCUACCCUUGGUCAGGUUGAAGUUCAGGUAACACUGAAUGGAGGACCGAACCGACUUACGUUGAAAAGUGAGCGGAUGAACUGAGGGUAGCGGAGAAAUUCCAAUCGAACUUGGAGAUAGCUGGUUCUCUCCGAAAUAGCUUUAGGGCUAGCCUCAAGUGAUGAUUAUUGGAGGUAGAGCACUGUUUGGACGAGGGGCCCUUCUCGGGUUACCGAAUUCAGACAAACUCCGAAUGCCAAUCAAUUUAACUUGGGAGUCAGAACAUGGGUGAUAAGGUCCGUGUUCGAAAGGGAAACAGCCCAGACCACCAGCUAAGGUCCCAAAAUAUAUGUUAAGUGGAAAAGGAUGUGGCGUUGCCCAGACAACUAGGAUGUUGGCUUAGAAGCAGCCAUCAUUUAAAGAGUGCGUAAUAGCUCACUAGUCGAGUGACACUGCGCCGAAAAUGUACCGGGGCUAAACAUAUUACCGAAGCUGUGGAUUGUCCGUAGGACAAUGGUAGGAGAGCGUUCUAAGGGCGUCGAAGCAUGAUCGCAAGGACAUGUGGAGCGCUUAGAAGUGAGAAUGCCGGUGUGAGUAGCGAAAGACGGGUGAGAAUCCCGUCCACCGAUUGACUAAGGUUUCCAGAGGAAGGCUCGUCCGCUCUGGGUUAGUCGGGUCCUAAGCUGAGGCCGACAGGCGUAGGCGAUGGAUAACAGGUUGAUAUUCCUGUACCACCUAGUAUCGUUUUAAUCGAUGGGGGGACGCAGUAGGAUAGGCGAAGCGUGCUAUUGGAUUGCACGUCCAAG